ensembl:misc_RNA Metazoa_SRP Metazoan signal recognition particle RNA
GCCGGGUGUAGUGGUGCGCGCCUGUAAUCCCAGCUACUCAGGAGGCUGAGGCAGGAGAAUCUCUUGAACCUAGGAGGCAGAGGCUGCAGUGAGCCAAGAUGGCACCACUGCACUCCAGCCUGGGUGACAGAGUGAGACUCUGUCUCAA